UACGUAGGGUGCAAGCGUUGUUCGGAUUCAUUGGGCGUAAAGGGUGCGUAGGUGGCGCGCUAAGUCGGGUGUGAAAUUUCGGAGCUUAACUCCGAAACUGCAUUCGAUACUGGUGUGCUUGAGGACUGGAGAGGAGACUGGAAUUCAUGGUGUAGCAGUGAAAUGCGUAGAGAUCAUGAGGAAGACCAGUGGCGAAGGCGGGUCUCUGGACAGUUCCUGACACUGAGCACGAAGGCCAGGGGAGCAAACGGG
rnacentral:rRNA from 1 species